CUGCGCUGCGCCCGGCCGCCCCCGCCGCCGCCCGCCGCCGCUACCGCCAUCUUAGGAGCAUGCUGGAAGCGCCGAGUGACGGCACCACCGGCACGGAUGCAGUCUGGUGCCUGAUGUGGAGCCUGAGUCCCCAGCUCAGGUGUAAAGGAGAACCAGAAAUGUCACCCUAGCAGUUUUGAGGCGUCAUCAACCACCUGGGUUUGCUGCUCUGAAGCAAGGCACUCUGCAGCUACCAAGACCACCUCAGUUUCCCCUCCAUCCAGGCUGGCUCCAGAUCUUCAUCAGCUGGGCUGAAAGCUACAGCAAUUCAGGAGCACUUGGCAUAUGCCAAGUGCGAGAGGCAGAGGUCAGCAUUCACGUCUUAUGUAAAUAAAUUGGCCUUCUGACAGCAAAAACACUGCAAGACCACGUAUACAGGCUCACUGAUCAGACAGCAGUGCAAGGAAUGCAGCUGCCAGGCAGAGAAGGUGAAGACAUGAAGAUUAUUUCUAUAGUUGGGACUAUCUGUGCUACUCUAUAGUAGAGAGCUGGGAGCUGUCUGGCAGAACAACUUGGAUUCCAUGAGGUGCCACAUGCCACCCUUUUCCACCAAUCCUGGCAGUGGGAGGUUCUGUUUAAAAUCCAGCUUUGGAUGCGGUGAACUAUAGUUGAAUUUGGCCUUAGUGCAUGGACAUGUUUGGAUAAAAUGUACCAACUCUUGUUGAGACUCACUGCUUGAGCAAUGCACAGGAUUCAUGCUUCUUUUCUGAUUUGCUUGGAAUUCUGCUCAGAAGAUUUUCCCAAACAGAAGAAAAUUCAAGGAUCGUAUUCAUUUUGGGAAACUUUGGAGGACACAAAGCUGUCCAACAGGUUAUUUUCUUUGGAGAAAAUAUAUGUUCUCUGUGGUCACUUCAAACGUACAUCAGACCAGAGAUCACUCAAAUGAUCUUUCAAUGCUUCUAAAUGAAGAUAUAAUAUGACAGCUAAGAAACUCACACGGGAAAGAAAUCCAUUUUUCUCCCAAAGGCUGACACACAGCUGAGACUGAUUUUUCUAAGGUUUCCUCUGAACUUGUCUGAACUAUUUUUUCAGACUGAAGAGUAGAACAACAGUAAUAGGAAUGAAGUGACAUUAAUAAUGUAACAUCAGUUCUUUUCUUCUUUCCCCUUUGCCUCAAUAUGCAAAGUCUGAUAGUUGCUGAAAUAUAUUCAAUCCUGAGGGACAAAAUGAGGACCUACAAAAAAAAGCAAGGAUGCAGGUUUGGAGUCAGAUUAUUUCCUGUCUCCUCAGAAGACAGAACAGCUGCUGUAAAAGCAAGACCAUGAAGAGACACAGCAGUGUUGCUGCCAGAUAAGGAUAGCAUGGCUGUUCAUUCCCUUCUCACUCACGCAGGACAGGGCCAUCAUUAUCUAGUUUAAAGCAAACAUGACAGACACUGCUAUUAUCACAUCAGCAGAUUGUUCAGUUAUUAUUGUUUGUAUUGCAGGAGUGCCUGGAGGCCCAGGCUGUGUUGCAACACUUAUUUGCUAUGUGCAGGACAUACUUUCAGGAGACCGUUCCCAUCUGGAAUAGCUUCUUCUGCACACACUAAGUAUCAGUAAGAAAAAAGGGACUAAUCACACUGUACCAGAGCAAAGGAAAUGCAGUUUACCCAAAGUUGUAACUGAGAAACUCUUCUAUAGAGCUGUAUGGACAGCAUCAUUCUCAAGCCAUGUGGAGAGACAGCAAAAUUAAUCAGCUGAUGUUUUUGCAUGUAGAAAGAAAAGACUGCAUAUGCCUGAAACAACCUGCACUAAACAUGGUGAUACAAGUGGCAAUUCCACUUGUUCAGAAGGCAGCCUGAUAAUGGGAGACUUAAGAAUUUUUGUACAUGUCUUUGCUAAUGAUCCCUUUAAUUACUAGCUAUAAAUCAUAUGGUAUGAAAACAUCACCAUUCUCAUUUCAAGAAGAAAGAUUUUGUAAUGCUUUUUCACUGUGUAAUACAUAUGGAUUUAGGGCUCUGUGGAUUAAAUUUGGCAAUUUCAGGCAUGCAAGGUUACUAAUCCGUACUUUGUCUACAUAAAAUCGAAAGAAGAAGCAAGGCAGCCUUGUGCCCUGGGGAUGGCUGGGGAAUUCCACACAUGCCUGUCUUCUGUAACUCUUGUCAAGGGUGAAAACAUUAAUGUCAGUGUUGCAAUAGUUACAGGCAGACUAAAAGGGCACACUUCAAGCAAAGCAAACGUGGUUUCAUUAAGUAUUUCUCUGUUUUCACCUCACAGUUAUUUUUUUGACACCUCUGUUCUCCCAGUUUCCUGAUGUUUUAAAGUAUGUAUUUGUCACAUUUAAUUCUGUUUUCCUGUAAUAGCUUCAUCCGCAGAGACUUCUCUUGGAGAACGGCCCAGAGAUUUUUCUGUUUCUUCUUACAUUUCUAUUUUCUCUGCAUCUGCUGUUACAUCAUCUAUAUGGGUUAUAUACACAUAAUUUUAGUUGUUAUGUCAAACUUAUAAUGCCACAAUCAGGCUGUCAAAAUGACUAAGUCCUGAGGAAUUUAUUUAGGCAAAAUUUGCACAGAAUUGUCUGUGAUUUCUUUAAUAAGUUGAAUGCUGCAAUAUUUCUGGUAGGUAUGCCAAAAUAAUAUAGGUAUAAGAAUAGAGCAUUAGUAAAAAUCAUUUCAGGAGCCAGUAAAGUAAAUCACAUUGUGCAGUUUUAACAAGGUCAAUGAUGAACUGGAAGGAAGCAAGAAAUCUUGAUUUUGGCUUCAGUUUUCAAUUCUUGACCACACUUCUUUGCUGUGUAAUUACACUAUUUACUGUUAAAUUUUAAUAUUGAACUGAGUAAAUUCUAUAUUUACUGAAUUUAAUAAAUUAUGUAACUAUUUUCCUGCAUCUCAUUAAUAGA